rnacentral:lncRNA from 1 species
GCCGGUUUUAAGAAUAAGAUAAGUAACUCUUGUAUCGUACAUUUUGGGUUGUAAGCUCCCCGUGAAAGAUAGAGAUAUCAUGGUCCAAGAAAGAGUAGUGUUCAUUGUUGAUAUUAGCUUUGUUUUAAGUAAGUAAGAUACAUCUCUUUAGUGUGCAUACUACACUCGUCAUUAUUGAGAGCCAAUAUAUAUUCCAAAUAUCUAAAAG